rnacentral:lncRNA from 1 species
CAGCCCACCCCACGCCGUGCCCCGCUGGGGAAUACCAGCCAGCCAGGGGCUCUGCAGCCUGUGUUCCAUGCCAGAGGGGCUUCUACUGCCAGGAGCUGGUUGCAGGAGACCCCAAGCGCUGCCCACCACACUCCUACUGUCCUACAGGCACACAGGUUCCUCUCACGUGUCCUGAAGGCACUUUCACUCCUGAAAACAUGACUGGCCUCUGGAAUGAGAAGGAAUGCCUGCCAUGCUUACCUGGUCACUACUGCAGGCAUGGGCGGCUGGAGGGGAAAUGUGCUGCUGGGUACUUCUGCCUUGCUGGGAGCUCUCAAUCCACCCCCCAGGGCCAUGGCUUUUCCUGGCGCUUCCCAUCUGGGUGCCACUGGGGUCAGGUGUGUGCGGGGCUGUGUCCUGCAGGUUUCUACUGCCUGGAGGGAUCUGAGCUACCUAUAGCAUGUCCUGCCAAUACUAUUAGAGCAGUUCCAGGCGCUGUGAAGAGAGAAGACUGCCUGCCCUGUCCACCAGGCCACUGGUGCAAAACAGGGGAUUCAGAGGCCUACCCAUGUCCGUCAGGACACUAUUGCUUUGGAAGCAAUGGCAGCGACCAUAGCAGUCUCCUGGCACCUCAGAAGUGCCCUCCGCAAACUUACCGCAAGCACCCGGGAGCUCAGAGCCUGACAGAUUGCCAGCCAUGUCCUCCAGGCUACCACUGCCCUUUAUCAGGUCUGACCAGGUUUGAGGAUUAUCCGUGCCCCCCUGGUUACUGGUGCCCUGGUCAAGGGGACACUUUCCUGUGUCCAGCUGGUACUUCCAGGAUCCAGCCUGGUGCAAAGUCAUUGGAAGAGUGUGAUCCCUGCUCACCUGGAUACUAUUGCCCGGAUCCAGCGCAGACAGGGCUGCCUAACACCCGAGGAGUACCCUGCAAACCUGGCUACGAAUGCCCAGCAGGUUCAGUAAAUCCGAAGCCUUGCAGGCCUGGAUUAUACUGUGGUGCUCGCACAGCCGUGCCUUCCAUGUGCCCUGCUGGGUAUUACUGUCCCGAAGGAUCGUCGACAUAUAAUAGCCCUGAGCAGCUGUGUGUGUUUCCCUACUACUGUCCCCCAGGCAGUGGCCAUCCACUGCCUUGUGAAGGAGGGUACAUGGCCCUCAGCUCUCCUGGUCCAAGGGAUUCAUUUGAGAAAUUCUGCAGAAUCUGCGACGCAGGCACCUAUCGCAGCGACUCCCUCAUCACAUCACCCUGCCAGCCCUGCCCAGCCGGCUUCAUCUGCCCCCAAGGUAACUGGAGCUGCCACGGAGGAGUGGGGCAAGAAACAGCAGCUUAAACU